GGAGGAUCCGAGCGUUAUCCGGAUUUAUUGGGUGUAAAGGGUGCGUAGACGGGAAAUUAAGUUAGUUGUGAAAUCCCUCGGCUUAACUGAGGAACUGCAACUAAAACUGAUUUUCUUGAGUACUGGAGAGGAAAGUGGAAUUCCUAGUGUAGCGGUGAAAUGCGUAGAUAUUAGGAGGAACACCAGUGGCGAAGGCGACUUUCUGGACAGUAACUGACGUUGAGGCACGAAAGUGUGGGGAGCAAA
rnacentral:rRNA from 1 species